rnacentral:rRNA from 2 species
GGAUGCGAUUAUACCAGCACUAACACACCAGGAUCUCAUCAGAACUUCGAAGCUAAGUGUGCUUGGGUGAGAGUACUACUAGGAUGGGUGACCCCUGGGAAGUCCUUGUGUUGUAUCCC